GUCUUUUUGUUUAAAAUUUAAAGUCUUGCCUGCCCAAUGAAUAAUUAAAUGGCCGCGGUAUUUUGACCGUGCUAAGGUAGCAUAAUCAUUAGUUUUUUAAUUGAGAACUGGAAUGAAGGGUUGGAUGAAAAAAUAACUGUUUCAAAAUAAUUUUAUUAAAAUUUUAUUUUUAAGUUAAAAAGCUUAAAUAUUUUUAAAAGACGAGAAGACCCUAUAGAGUUUAAUUUUUAUUAAAAAUAUUAAAUUUAGUAAUUUAUUUUAUUAUUUUUAAAAAAAAUUUAAUUGGGGUGAUUGAAAAAUUUAAUUAACUUUUUAUUUUUUAAUUUAUUAAUUAAUAUAUAUUUGAUCCAUAUUUUAUGAUUAUAAGAUUAAAUUACCUUAGGGAUAACAGCGUAAUUUUAUUUUAGAGUUCUAAUCGAAAAUAAAGAUUGCGACCUCGAUGUUGGAUUAAAAUUUAUAUUUGGUGUAGAGGCUAAAUAAUUAAGUCUGUUCGACUUUUAAAAUUUUACA
rnacentral:rRNA from 1 species